GCACGAGCGCACCCUUGUCCUUAGUUGCCAGCAUUCAGUUGGGCACUCUAACCCUUCUGCCGGCUGGACAAACCGGAGGAAGGUGGGGACGACGUCCAGUCAUCAUGGCCCUUACUUGUAGGGCUACACACCAUGCUACAAUGGCAUUUACAGAGGGAAGCGAGACAGUGAUGUGGAGCGGACCCCUUAAAGAAUGUCGUAGUCCGGAUUGGAGUCUGCAACUCCACUCCAUGAAGUCGGAAUCUCUAGUAAUCGCAGGUCAUAAUACUGCGGUGAAUACGUUCCCGGGCCUUGUACACACCGCCCGUCACACCAUGGGAGUGGGAUGCAAAAGAAGUAGUUAGUCUAACCUUCGGGAGGACGAUUACCACUUUGUGUUUCAUGACUGGGGUGAAGUCCUAACAAGGUAACCCUAGGGGAACCUGGGGUUGGAUCA
rnacentral:rRNA from 1 species